rnacentral:rRNA from 1 species
CCUACGGGAGGCAGCAGUGAGGAAUAUUGGUCAAUGGGCGCGAGCCUGAACCAGCCAAGUCGCGUGAGGGAAGACGGUCCUAUGGAUUGUAAACCUCUUUUGUCGGGGAGCAAAAGACGCCACGCGUGGCGUUCCGAGAGUACCCGAAGAAAAAGCAUCGGCUAACUCCGUGCCAGCAGCCGCGGUAAUACGGAGGAUGCGAGCGUUAUCCGGAUUUAUUGGGUUUAAAGGGUGCGCAGGCGGAAGAUCAAGUCAGCGGGAAAAUUGAGAGGCUCAACCGCAUCGAGCCGUUGAAACUGGUUUUCUUGAGUGCAUGAGAGGUAUGCGGAAUGCGUGGUGUAGCGGUGAAAUGCAUAGAUAUCACGCAGAACUCCGAUUGCGAAGGCAGCAUACCGGCGCUCAACUGACGCUCAUGCACGAAAGUGUGGGUAUCGAACAGGAUUAGAUACCCUUGUAGUC